GAAGUAGGAAAGGGAAUGCAAGGAUUCAUCAUUGCCUGCCUCUAUUCCAUCUGCUAUUUUUGCCCAUAGGAAUUUUUGUAAGCAGACACAGAGCAGCCUCCAGUACUACAUGAUGCACAGCUGAGCCAGGACAGGGAAGGACAAAUGUGACCCUCACACUAUGCAGUCAAGACUGAGACUCUGACAAGCUACCUGGGAGGAUGGAGUGUAACAAUUGUACAGAAGUAGUCUUAGAGGAGCAUGACAGUUAUAACGAAUCCAGUGCAGUCUUCUUCCAGGGCUAGUAUCACAGUGAAGCUGGAGAGCACAAAGUAGUGAAAUUCCUCUUGAGGACUUCCCUGACCCUGGCUUAUUGGACUGUCCUUAUUUACAAUCCAAAUGUGCAAAGAGAAAAAGAAAGGAUAAACUGAAUGCUGAAGGUUAUUGCAGGGAAGAAACUGACUGUACAAAAAAGUGAAAGGGAAGUUGUGAUCUCAAGUAAACAAGAAUUCAAAUUCAGUGUUGCACACUGGCAUAGCUCUGUAUGCUCUGUAGACAGUAAAGCUGUUCCAAUUUUGAUUGCCAACUUGAUAUGCCUAAUUGAGCCUUGCAACAGAUCAAAACCAGAGCCUGAGACUGUAGCUCAGGGCAGCAGAGCAGAGCUUUAACAAAAACAUGAGUAUUGGAAGAAAAACAGUAUGCAGGAGGUAAUCCAGAGAAGCUAUGGAUGUCUCAUUUCUGGAAGUGUUCAAGGUAAGGAUGUAUGGGUUCCUGGCAGCCUGGUCUAGCGAGAGGCAACCCUGCCCAUGGAGAGGGUCUGGAACAAAAGGAUCUUUGAUUUCACUUUCAAUCCCAGCCAUUCUGUGAUUCUAUGACUCCACAUGUCCAUGCCUUCUUCCAACCACUACAGGCCCCUGCUCUGUGCCAACUCUUUUCUCUGAAGUAGCUCUCUUUAAAUCUGUGCAAUGACUUUUUAUCUAAAUACAAUACUAGGUACUAGGUGUCCUGAGUAAUUCCUAAACUAGUAAGCAGGGGACUGUUUUUCAUUUUAUUACACCUCUACAUCUCUUUGAAAACUUCUAGCUUAUUUUCAUAGUUUAAUCUGUGGCUAUGUGUUACUGAAGGAAACUGUGAUAGCUUCUGUUUGGAGGCUGUUUUAGAAGUAAUGGAGCACAUGACUAACACGUGCCUAAGUAGUUGUCAGUGUCAGUAGUGAAUGUUUGUAGUGGGUAGGCUACAGUUGUAAAUGUCCAAUGAAUGCUUGUUAAUCCUAAGCAGUUAGGAGGUUUCCCUGAUUUUUUGUGGUGUUCAUCCAUGUAGUUUACAAAGGUGUUUCUUUGAGUAUAUUUCAAUAUGCUCUGUAGACGCUGCUGUAACAGAAACAUUCAGUGGCAAAGGAUACAAACAUUUGUGUAGUUUACUGGGAAUGCUUCUGCUGUCUGGUUGCUAUGGUUAUUUUCUAUUGUGUUUAUUUGUUAUUUUUAACUUUGGGAUUGUAUCUCAUAAUUCUUUUCCUUAUUUCAUUUUUAUAACUUUUUAAUGACACAGAAAGAAAUCAUUAGUAGUACUUGUAAUUCAUUGGUGAAGCUUUUUCAAAUUCACUAUGAACAAACGCAUAUUUUAUUACAAAAUAUAUCUCAAAUAUCAAAUCUCAAGAUGCAUGCGUUU
ensembl:lncRNA